rnacentral:rRNA from 1 species
GUAACGCGUAUGCAACCUACCUCAUACUGGAGGAUAGCCCCUGGAAACGGGGAUUAAUACUCCAUAGUAUCACGAAUUCGCAUGUUUUUGUGAUUAAAGUUUUUCGGUAUGAGAUGGGCAUGCGUCCCAUUAGCUUGUUGGUGAGGUAACGGCUCACCAAGGCAACGAUGGGUAGGGGGCCUGAGAGGGUGGUCCCCCACACUGGUACUGAGACACGGACCAGACUCCUACGGGAGGCAGCAGUGAGGAAUAUUGGUCAAUGGAGGCAACUCUGAACCAGCCAUGCCGCGUGAAGGAUGACGGCCCUAUGGGUUGUAAACUUCUUUUAUAGAGGAAGAAACUUGUCUACGUGUAGACAACUGACGGUACUCUACGAAUAAGGAUCGGCUAACUC